rnacentral:tRNA from 1 species
GCAGUGUUCCCAUAAUGGUAUUGGAACGGCUUGCUAAGCCGCAGGCGUUUGUUCGCCUUGUAGGUUCGAGUCCUACACACUGCG